rnacentral:rRNA from 1 species
GAUGAACGCUGGCGGCGUGCCUAAUACAUGCAAGUCGAGCGAACAGACGAGGAGCUUGCUCCUCUGACGUUAGCGGCGGACGGGUGAGUAACACGUGGAUAACCUACCUAUAAGACUGGGAUAACUUCGGGAAACCGGAGCUAAUACCGGAUAAUAUAUUGAACCGCAUGGUUCAAUAGUGAAAGACGGUUUUGCUGUCACUUAUAGAUGGAUCCGCGCCGCAUUAGCUAGUUGGUAAGGUAACGGCUUACCAAGGCAACGAUGCGUAGCCGACCUGAGAGGGUGAUCGGCCACACUGGAACUGAGACACGGUCCAGACUUCUACGGGAGGCAGCAGUAGGGAAUCUUCCGCAAUGGGCGAAAGCCUGACGGAGCAACGCCGCGUGAAUGAUGAAGGUCUUCGGAUCGUAAAACUCUGUUAUUAGGGAAGAACAAAUGUGUAAGUAACUAUGCACGUCUUGACGGUACCUAAUCAGAAAGCCACGGCUAACUACGUG